GCCCACGUGGUCUCUGGGACGCUGCGGUGGCUUUCCGUCCUACCUCUGUGGAGUCAUAAAAACGACCGUGCCCUACACGUGUGCGUUGCUUUGGUUCAGCACCGUAGUGAGUUUGUUUUUUGCAGGUUUCAAGUCUCUGCAGAAGAAGUUCUGAGCCUGCAGCCUCUACUGCGUACAUUCCCACGCACAGGAGUCUUCCACACACGUCCCGGAGCUGUAGCACCUCUCCGCUAGCAUCUGGUUGCUACUGUGAGCGUGUGUGUGAUGUAUUUGUCACCAAGAAACAAAUCAUGGAGAGCAAGGCUCAAAGCAUGAAGUUUCAAGAGAAAGCACAAGAAAGGAAGAAAAUGGAAGUGUAAAGAUGUCUUCUUUGUUCCUUCUUGUAUUUGCCAUGCCAGGAAAGGUUAAGAAAUUCAUUUCUUCAAAUGAGAAAGGAUACUCCAUAUUAAUGACAGACUCCCCAAGCAUGUCAUCUGGAAAGAUGCAGGUGAACCCUAUAGACGUCCUUGAUGCUGAUGGAGUGUUUGUUGCUGCAACUGAGUGGCAAGACAAAAUACUCGAAUCAGGAAAGAGAACUUCCCUUCUUCUCUCUCAUUCCAGCUCUUUACUUGAGGAAGAGAACAGCCAUUGUCCUGACCAGGGAGUCCACAUGGGCAUUAAAAGGGCUGCCCAACAUUGCAUAUCACUAGGUGCCUCCCUCAGGCGCCAUGCACCUAGAGAUAUCUUAAUGACUUUCUUGUAGGAAUGGCUAGCUAGCAUUAUGAUCUGGGGCGCAAAAAAUCAAAGAAAAGGGUGCCCUGCUUCCUUAGGCUUUUAUAUGGAUCUUUCCACCCUGCCAUCCCAGGACAACUCGGUGGACCAGCCCAUAAUCCCUAUGGCCUGGAGAUCCUGAGACAAAUUUCUACCCACAUGUUGCUCUGUUGGGAUGAGGAUAAAGCUGGGGACAGAACAGUGCACUAAAGGAACUUUGCUUUGACACUGUGGUCUUGGAUUUUGUUCCUGGAUUUCCCAAGUUCUCUUUAGAACAGACAUAGAGGGGCUGUGUCCCAGGGCAUGAAGGGUUCUUCUCAGAGAUAUUCACAUGAGUGCAUGUAUGAAUCAGAGAAGACCCAAAUAUUAGCAUUAAGUGUUCAGCAAAGGUGUCAUCCUGGAUGGAGCUAAUAAACAGAUGGAUGGCAGAAUGAAGAUGAUAUUUGAGGUGUUUAAAGCUGGCAAAGGGUUAAUAUCCAGACUGUAAAGGGGAUUCCUUCAAAUCAGUACGAGAGAAGAUUGCAGUGAAAGAAACCUAAAAUGAAGAAAAGAAUAUGAGCUGGUGAGAUGUGAAUUUGAGAAAGAAAAGAAAAGUUGAUAUGGGAAGACCAGUCCACUGGAAGCAGUGCCACCCUGGGCAGGUCCUGGGCUCUAAGAAAACAGGCUGAGAAAGAGAAGUCCAUGAAGCAAGCCAUGGAGCAGCAUUCUUCCAGGGAUUCUUCAGUUCCUGCCUUUGGGUCUCUGCCUUGACUUUCCUCAGUGUUGGUACGUGUCAGUGGGGAUCAGGAAUCAAGGAAGGAGCCUCGGGCACCAUGCCUGUCUGCAUGCCACCAUGUUCUGCCACGAUGAGAAUGGACUAAACCACUGAAACUGUGAGCCACCCAAUUAAAUGUUUUUCUUUAUAAAAGUUGUUAUGGUCAUGAUGUCUCUUCACACCAAUGGAAACCGUAAGACAGUUCUUAACCCCUGAACUUAAUAGAGGUGUCAGUGUCUCCUUGGCCGACAACUGCACACCCACCAUUGUUGACUUAGUAUAGGCGUUUAUGAAAUAAACAAUCUUGAUAGAAAUCCUCGCCAACCUGCAUCCCGUGUGUAACACACUACAUCAGCCAAGCCCUGGUAACCGCUAGUUCUUCUCCUGGUAAAGGUGCACUCCGCCAAACUGGUCUCUAUUCCCCGGCAACGUACAUGCAGGCAUUCAGUGGAGUUUAUAAGGAGAUCUCCAGGUACAUUAAACCUUUUUCGUGCAACAAGCGCACCCCUGCGAACAGAAUGAGUCAGAUCUGAGGGAAGAGCAAUUCAACUUUGUGUUUAUAACCUCAUCAUAGGAAGUGAGGUGCUACAGCAAUUUUCCCCCAAAAUAAUUUACAGAUCAUUUGCCUUAAAACCUUCACUUGAGCCAUAAUUUGGGUUUUGUAAAGAUGAACUAAAAUAAUCAAUUUCAACCACCAAUCAGAGUUGAAAACAUGGCAAACAUUCAGCCAGUAUUGUUUUUCAGGUUUUAUUAAGGAGGAAUGCUUCCUUUCCAUUUGAUGUUUCCUCCCCACUGGACAGUCAUCCUGACUUCUCCUUGUCAUGUUAUUAUUUUUUUUCUUGACAAAAGAGAGUGAAUUGCUUUGACCUGAGGAUUCUGGAAGUUAUGCCAGAAAAUGUCAGCACAGACUUCCUGUCUUUUCUUUUGAGGAGUCUUCUCACCUCCCUCCCCCACAGGGAGGGAGCCUUACCUGGUUGAUCUCACUAUGGCUUAGUAUGCGGGAGGUCAACUUGUUUGAACUCUAACAGUUUUGUUUGCCAUUUAGAAUUAACUACCUCUUUGUAUGAGCCUUAAUAGUACUGAGGCGGUAUUCUGGCAUCUCUUUGAAGAUGCAUUUGGGUUGUCAAUUUUAGCAUUCUUUUUUGGAAAGCAUACUGCUAGCUAUGUCCGUGAGAAGGAACAUUUCCAGAGAGAACUAGUUCAUGAAGAUUCUGACCUAAUGAAUGAUUUAAUCCCUUGCUGGGUUCAUAUUACGACAGCCUUAUUUUGGGUGGCCAAAGGGUGGAGUCUCUUUAGAGGAAGCAGGUCAGCAGGGGCAUAUGCUUAGGGGCCACAUCUUGUCUCCUGUCUCUAACUCCUUAUUUCCUGUCCACCACGAGUACCCUUUGGUAUACAUUUCUACCCCCGAUAAUCUGCCUCACUGCAGACCUAGAAACAAUGGAACUGGUCAUGACAGAGUGAAUAAUCUGAAACCAAAAGCCAAAAUACAUCAUUUCUGUUGUUAGCUUUUCUCUUACACAUUUUUUGGUCAAUGCAAUGCAAAAACUAAUUAAUAUAAUGCUAUUAUUUGACUUCUUAGUUUGUUUAAAAUAUGUGAAAAGAAACAUUCUCAAUUACCCAACAGCCUGGAGAUGACUCAUGGUGAACUGUUAUUCUAGGAUAUUCAAUUGCUUCCUGUUUCUCUUUAUAGAGGAAAAUAGAUUAAAAUUAAAAGUAGAGCAAAGAUACAUCAGAAAUGAAAAUAGAAAUAAAGUACUAAUUGCAAUAUAAGUAAUAGAUUAACAAGAAUGAAAGGCAAAAAGAGAACAAAGAAAGUAUUCCUAGUUUCUUUGAUUCCAUAAGGAAGAUACAGAAUAAUCAUACAAAAAAUAGCCAUUGGGGGCAAAAA